rnacentral:rRNA from 1 species
UACGUAGGGGACUAGCGUUGUCCGGAAUCAUUGGGCGUAAAGCGCGCGUAGGCGGCCCGGUAAGUCCGCUGUGAAAGUCAAAGGCUCAACCUUUGAAUGUCAGCGGAUACUGCCGGGCUAGAGUCCGGAAGAGGCGAGUGGAACUCCUGGUGUAGCGGUGGAAUGCGCAGAUAUCAGGAAGAACACCAACGGCGAAGGCAGCUCGCUGGGACGUUACUGACGCUGAGACGCGAAAGCGUGGGGAGCAAACAGG